UGACACUGAUCAAGAUUUUCAUGACAACGCUACUGCUACUGCUGAGGAUGACGGGGGGAAAGAUUUUGCCGAAUCUGUGAGUGUGGGGAAGAAGGGUGACUGCUUGGUCAUUCACUUCAGGUGUCACUGUGAUAAAGCCUAUCAGUUCCUUCUCAGUGGAGGCGACUGCUACUACAAGCUCAUGUAGAUAUCCAUCUCUAUUAUCCAACCCACUGGAAAAAACUGAGCACUCUACAUUCUCUGGUUUGGAUUUUUCAUACACGUAGGUUAAAUUCUUUUCAUGAUACUUAACUCAGUCACACUGAUCUAAUUCUUAGGUUGUUUGAAUCUUCGGCUUAGAUCGUACCCUUUUCAUAGAUUCUUUUUGGAUGAAGUACUCAGUGCCCUGAUUGGUGUUAGUUUUACAAAUCAUCUGGUUUUUCCCCUUACUUCUUCUUUUCAUUGUAAUGAAGUACAAUAUGUGGAAUAUUGCAUGAAUCGCAAAGGCGAAAAGAUAUGUGGAAUGUACUUUGUUGCAAUUCUUGUUUGGAAGCGAAUGAAUAAAAUUUCCUGAUUCUCUUGUGAAUGAAUACAUGAACCUUAUCCUUCAAAUGUCAUGAAAUUUUGGAUGUCAGUAACAAUUUCUUGCUGAUUUCAGUCACUUGUGCAUCUCCCAAUCCUUCGAUUGCAUCUGGUCAUUCGAUUGUUUAGAAUUCUGCAUGCAUACUAAGAUUGUCAUAGCUGCUUUUUUGUUAAGCUCAUAAGCAUAUAACAUCCACACUUCAUUUGAAUUGUAUAAUCGUAAGUUGAAUGAAAUCACGAGGAAAACAAGUUGUUCCUUGUUCUGUGAGUAGAAUUUGUCAAAUGAUUUUUUUUUUCUUUCUUUGUUUCCUUGUUUUUGUAUGUGAGUUUUUAUGCUCGUUCUAUUAAUAUGUGGUGGAAAAGACGGCUCCAAAUUAAUCGUUAUGAAAAAAUACCCUUUUUGACAGAAAACUUACAAUUCGUAGGUUGUUUUAUUCCUCGUCCUACAUCGUACCCUUUUUGACAGAAAACUUACAAUUCAUGUUCUCUCUAAAGUCAAAUGAAAUCGCGAGAAAAACACGUGGUCUAGGGGAUGGGAUUUUAGUGCAGAUUUAAACAAGUAUAUGGUAAUGCUUGCAGAAUUGACAAGGAUAGCUGUGGAGCCAAAAAUAAUCACCAGACGACACAUGGAUUUUUGGAUAGAAGAGGACAAAAAUACCCUUGAGGCAUAUCGGGAUUCCUACGCUAUAGCAGUGGACAAUCAUCCCUCAAUCAAGUCAAAAGUGCCCAAAAUAGGUGCAAUCUUGUCAAGAAGAAGAAGGCGGAAAUUUUCAUCCACAAUAGCCAAAAGGUUUGCAAAAAUAAGUCGAGCAGAGCAGGCAAUGUAGAAAGUUUCAAGUUGCCGGUCAAAUUUGUUUUUGUGUUCUUGCAAAUGUUUGUGCUAGUAACAAAUUUGGCAAUUCAAAUCUCUCUUUACAGUUUGGUAUUUUGCAGAAGAUUAGGAUACAUUCCCUUGUGGCAUAUGCAUUUUUGAUCGAAGAUCUAGCGAUUAAAAAAAACUGAAAUUUCGGAUACUCUGGAGCAUUCUAGAAAACUAUUUGAAAACCAAUGAUCUCCUACUUUCCUGAAUAA